UUCUAGUGCCACAAAGGUAAAAUCUUUUUCUCAAUUAAUUUUCUGGUCUCCAAAUACAGUGUAGAUGCUGCUGCUUACAGGAUUCUUUGACUGAUGACAUAACAACAUCUUUCAAAACAAAGAAGCAUUCAGACAUGAAUACAUGGCUGGCAAAGGAAUGAAGAUGCACAUCAUUGUGAGAACAUUAACUUGAAGGCAUAUUUUGAAGCUCUGAUCAAAACAAACACAGCGUUUGUAAAAGAAUAUUUGACAUUUUUACAACUAUACAUUGGUGUCACCGAGGUAAACUCUGAAAGACCAAACAACUGCCCUAUGUAAGUUUUGACCCCCAUCACAUCCUCAAGUAGGACUCAUUUCAGAGGGUGGUAGUGGAAAGAGAGUUGAGCAGUCAAAAUGAAGAAGUAGGACUUGAAAACUUUUUGUUCCUGCUUCUCUAAUGACAGGAGCUUCUCAUUGAUGAGAGCUGAAAUAGGAACUGUAGGAUUGAUCUUCACCUUAAAAUCACCCUCAUCAGAAAACUAAACAGCCUGUCUUCUCUCUUUUCAGGGAAUUUUAUUCAUAGUCAUUGACAGAACUGAAAGCCAGAAGCUUUAUUAGACCUACAGACUGAAAAAUUGGCUUCUUUUAAUUUGUCUCAAAGCCCAGAGCUGUCAGCAAGUACCUUACUGUCUGAAGAGGACUCAGCAAACCAAACCAUACUCAGAGUGCUGCUUCAUUUUCCAUGACUGCACAUGAUGACAGAACUUACUCAGGAGAAGUUUCAGAGCUGCAGAUUGCAUAUGGGGCCUGAGUGAGAUGAACAGCUCAAGGACAAGACAGGCCACUUGUGGGAUCUGCUGGGACCUCUACCCAUGGAAGCUGAGAUGCUGUGCAAAUAGAACAGCAGAUAGGAGACAUGGAGAGAAGUUCAUCUGAAUAGAGAGGAUUGACUUUGAGAUUUUUAUUGGAGUGAAAUUCAGAUGCAAGUCAAGCUUAACCCCCUAGUAGAAGCUGCUUCAGGAGAGAAAAAAAAAAAUCUGAUUAGACAGGAAUAGAAAGACAGACCACUCCUGUAAGUCUAUUCUUAUUUGAAAAUACUCAAAUGUUUGUGGGAAGACUUAAUAUUUGUCAUGUCUUUGACCAAAGUCCAUACAGUGUAUUUAGAUAUGGAGAAAUUAUUUGAUUCAUAUAGUGAUCUCUCUAAUCUCUCUAUCUGUCCAUAUUCCAUGGUACCCUGAAAAUAUCAUAUGAAAUAAAAAUGGUUUAGAAAGCAGAAACUAUCAGCAGGUUUUGUUCACACAGCUUGUAUGAUGUAUAAAAGACUGUAUACGAAUCCAUAAAAAAUCAUAGUCUGAGAAUGGACAGACUAAGAAGAGAGGAUUUCCCCUCCUAAGAUGGGACCAUGCCAAAGUUGUUUUCCUUUCUAACCACCCUGGAUCUAGAGUUUGGAGGCUGGGGCUAAAGCCUGCAACAAACUUGAAACAUUACGGAGUGAAAUAAAUGGGUCUCUUCCAAAUGAAUCCCAGAUGAUGCCAAGUGGAAGAAGAUUUAUGUAUAUGUUGUAUAAAUAUUUAAUGAUAUGGCCAAAAACCUACUGCCACUUA